AUGACAGACUCCUGGGCCAUUGGUUUGCCUUGUAACCCUGCAGAGAGCUGUGAUCAGCUUGGGAAGAAAUCCAAGAGCAGCUUUAAACUAACAUGUUUCUUACAGAGGAAGCAGGAAGGCUUGCAAGUACACACAGAAAUGGCAAACGACUUCACGAAGAGACCCUGUGCCCAGCACCCACAYUGCUCUGAGCACCCAUCGAGCUGUCUGGAGAUCCCCAGACCCUUCUUCACCCCUCCUCAGCCUCACCUGCCCGUGCUGGUGGCGGGAGCUGCCAGGGGCAGCCUGGGCUCCCUCCCACGUGCACAGCCUCYGUGGGAUUGGCACCAUCUUGCUGGUGUGGGGGAAGCGUCCAAGCUGGUUCACAGCAGUGGAGGUGCCUGUGCACUGGCCAGAACCUCCUUUCUGGGUGCAGAAGAGGCAUUUCUACAAUUGCACGCRCACACCCCUUUACUGCCACACUCCCCCACAAAACCCACCACCUCCUCAUGGCCUUCCACAUCCCCAGCCACCCUCUGCCGUGAACACCCACUCAUGGCUACACAGACAUGCUCAGACACACACGCAGACCCGUGCUCGCAGGCAGCAUGCACACCUGCACACUCCCGACCUCCCUCACCAGAGACACUCACUCACGGCAUGCACCCCCAGUGCCAUAGCCCCACACUCUCCCACCCCACAAAUGCAUCAGCCCUCAGCCAGACUGACCUCACCGCAUGUGGUUGCCCRUUUGUGCUGAGUGCACCAACAUGUCCACCCGUGCACAGGUACUUGCACACCCUCACACACAACUACCCCAUGCACACACAUCCCGCACACACACAGAGCACACAGGUAUGGCUCCCCACACCCCAGGGCAGCCUCGCACACACACGCCUGGCACCUCCACGCUUGCUCGGCACACAGGUGCCCCCACUCAUGCACCUGGCACACCCCCACUGGCACCCUCGCACACGGAGACCUGCAUACACACACCUGCAUGCAGGUGACCUCGCGUGUCUGGCACACGGGUACUCUGACCCCACACACAUGCACUUGGACCAUGGGAUCACAGGGCAAUUAAUGCUGGAAGGGACCUUGGGAAGUCUCCACUCCAGCUGGAGGAUCACACUAGGUUGCUCUGGAUGGCCUCCAGUUGGGUCUUGA
rnacentral:lncRNA from 1 species